rnacentral:rRNA from 1 species
GUAAAACGCGCUGGAGGACCGAACCCACGUAAGUUGAAAAUUGCGGGGAUGAGUUGUGGGUAGCGGUGAAAUUCCAAACGAACUUGGAGAUAGCUGGUUCUCUCCGAAAUAGCUUUAGGGCUAGCCUCGCAAAGAGGAUGCUGGAGGUAGAGCUCUGUUUGGACUAGGGGCCCGUCAAGGGUUACUGAAUUCAGAUAAAC